rnacentral:lncRNA from 1 species
AAAACAACACGUAAUUUUCUCAGACAGGAGAAUUUUUGGUCAUUCUUGCUUGUCAUACCAUUCACAUGGACUAUGUCCUUGGAUAGUUUACCCAUAAGGUCAAAAACUGGUACACCCAGGUUUGAUCUAGUCAUUUCUUCCAAUACUGGGGGGGCUUGCAUGUACAGAUUCUUUCCUCGGUGUGUAAUGCUUGCUUUUGACAACUGCAACUUAGGAUGUUCUUCCAGAAGAUCCAUGAACUGUUCCAACAGUUUGAUUAAAAAAACAACAGAAGGGAAAUAUGCAUUGAGAUAUAUGGCUUGCUUAAAUUCAACUAUAAGUAAAAACAGCAAUCAAAAUCAAAGUACUUACUAAAAAGUGAAUAUAUCUGUUAAGAAAUUAGGAUCCAAUUGCAAAGUAUGAUACUUAAAUCCCACAUCAGAAGUAUGAGAUUCCAGUAUGGGGUUUAUAUGACCUUGGCACCCUGUGCUCUGCAACCACAAUGGCUAGCAUUUGUGGUGUGGUUCUCCCAAGGUUCAUACCAAUAUCAUAAAAAAUACAUCUUUCAGCAAAUGGAGGGUGUGACUCUUUUCAUUAAUUAUAAAAUAGUGAAACCUUUGAAGGGGUAUCAGCAAAAGGCUCACUUUCAAAGUCAGGAUAGCUUUUAAUUAUACGUAGCCAGCAAAACCUUUGACGCAUAAAAACUUCAAAUGAGGAAGUAUGCAAGUGUCAGACAGGACACUUCAAAUCCUAACGGGACACUUAAGAUUUGUGGUGUCUGUAUCCUUGUCCAUCUAUAGUGUCACAUGUCAAUGUUAGUGCUUCUUAGCCAAAACUAAAUAAAAUUACACUUCCAAUAUGUCAACAAAUGGUUGGCCAUUGUAACAACUAAUAACUUCAACAAUGUAAAAAGAACUUGAAACACAGAAAUUCACUGAAUUCAUAAAUAGUAAUAAUAUGAAGAAACCAAGAUGAUAGGAAUCCAAAUAACCUUCUGUAAUGUGAUUGAAGGGUCCAGUUCAAUAAGUACACCAGGACCACAGACAAGACAGUCUUUAUCCCUUUCAAAUUCUGCCACUUUAGUGUGGAGGCCUUCUGAUCCAUUAUACCUGCACCAAACAUGAAAGAAUCAAUAAGCAUUGCCCAUACGUGACACUUAGUGUUGAAUUACAUAAUAAUGAUAAAAUCCGUAAAUAAUUUCCGGCACGUAAGAUAUAGAGUUUGCAUCUUUCUUCCUUCUUUUUUAUAAAAAAAAUGUAGCUAGGCAAGAAUGAAGUCUAAAAUCUAAAGAGACGUUAAAAAUGCCUUCUUUUUUGGUAUCGUGUAUCAUAACCAUGUGCAUAAAAUGUGCAAGAUACAUAGAAUAGUAAACGCCAAAUAAUAUAGAAGAGAGGGGACACACGUUAAAUAAUUUGACAUAGUUUUGCUGCACUCUGUUGCAAUCUUCAAUGUUUCCAGUGCACAUGCAGCUGAUAUAAUAGCAUUUGUGGAAGCUAUAGCAGGUAUUAUGUUCUUCACAACACCCUGUUCAAAACAAUUAACUGCUUAGAAAUGAUAAAAAUAUACUCAGACAACAUCACAAGGGAAAACAAAAUCAAUGGCAGAAUAUCAGACAUUCCAUUCAAAAUCUUACACAUCAAGCAAGUUAUACCUGAGUAAAUGAAUAAGUAACCCCUGGAAUGCCAAAAAGCUCAGCCCUCUUGACUGCCUAUGUAAAAAAACAAUAGUGAAACGUGUAAUUAAUGGGAUAAAAAUAUAUAUUAAAUGGUCAAGAAACUACUUAUAAAAAUAAUGGCUACCUCAUCAUAGACCCAUUUCAUAUGCUCAGGAUUAUCUGGAUCAAAAGCAGUUCCCCCAUGAACCUAUAAAGCAAAUCUUCAUUUUCAAUAAUGGAUUCUAGAAAAUAACAAAGAACGAAAUCAGAGACAAAGCAGUGAAAUACCUCAUUCCAUUUAAUUAAGUGAGCAUAUUCAAUACAAUGGGCAGCCGUUCUAGGGGUUUCUGCUAGGGUGCACAAGGGAAACUUCACUUGAGGUGGGAAAAGCCAUAUGGUGCACUCAAAGCAUGGUGUGAUCCCUGGCAAGAUAACCCUAGCAUGGCCUUUGAAACCUUCAGUCCCGCCAUCAACCAUAGGUUUGAUUGUUUCUUCCCGUGGAUUGUCAUUAGAAUCAUAUUCUAGAUUUACCAAGGGGAACAGAAACCAGAAAUUAGCAUAAGCAAUUAGCAGUGAACUUUGGGGAGAUGGCAUGAAAGGUUGAAAUUUUACAUAGUUGAGGUCACAUAUGACACCAAGAAAUGAAUAGCCUUAUACAGCAGGCAUGCUUUAGGUCCAAAUGCCUAGAGAUAUGAUUCUUUUAUUAAAGAAGAAAAGGAAAAGGUAUUUUGGCUCGUAAUCAACACAAGUAAAAAAGUUAAGGACUUAAGUUGAACUCUGGAAUUUCAUGCAUUAGAUGAAACUUGAAGGAUUGUUUAUGGAAGAUGUGAAAGCAAAGUCUACAAAAUCUCAACAUCUAAAAUUUGUGAAAGAAUUAUUAAGUGUUACAUGCAAUUGGUAACUUAACUAUGUUGAAAAUAUAUAUGGUUUCCAUACAUAAGAAAUAUUCUUGCUACUCUUGCCAUUGAUUAAGAUUCGGUUUCCACCUGGUCUGAUAGUAACAGGCUUAUAUAUCAAAAUUUGUUGAUCUAUAAUUCUAUAAAUAAUUUUACUGAGAAAUAAGAAUUAAGCUAUCACGGCCCCAAAUAAAGAAAAAGCUAAACAUAGGAAUAUCACAGUUAGUUAAUUUAGAGCCUGGUCAGGUAAGUGGUACUGGUUACGCUAAUCAGCCAGGUACUUAUUGUAAUGGAUCAGUUAGAUUAGUUACAUGAGUUUUACUAGUGUACAUACAAGGUAUGAGAGAAUUGGACUCCAUGAGUUUGUAUAUAAACCCAGUGAUAACUUAAUGAUCGUCAGGUGAUUCACUCUUCAAAACUUAUCACUAUAACACAUGGUGGGAAAUCCGUUAUUUGUCCACAAAUUAGAGAAGCAAAGCCAUGGUUAAAGGGAGUUCAUAUGUACAAUGAUUGCACUGAAAGAGUGGAAAUGGGCACUGUGUAAACAUAUAAAUACAUAGUGUCCACAUAUUAAUACUUCUGUAGAAAAUAAAUACACUAUGUAUAUAUUAAUAAAUAAUAUAACACUCUAAAUUCAUUAUCAUAUAAAGUUAUAACACAUAUUAAAUAAAUGUUAAACUAAUUAAAGUCUUAGCCUGCUUGGUUAAAUAGAUGUUCAAGAAGCUUAGGUGUGACUGCAAGUUUAAAUUGUGGUUGUAGUUACCGCAAUUGCAGAAAAGUGUGGGAAAAUGUGGAUGCAGUUGCCGAGACUCCCAAAACCACAAUUGCGGUUGCAGAGCGCAGUUUAAAACACUGUGUCUUGUGCUUUUUAAAAAUAAAAAGGCUAGGGCAUAGGUCAUAACAUCACAAUUACAUAAGCUAAAGGAGCACAACACAAUUUAAAACUCCAACAUUAGCAACACAACUACAUAAGCUAAAGGAGGAGAUAGAAAAGAUACCUAGAAAACUACAAGCAACAUUGUUGAUAUAUGAACGUGCCUCAAGGGAAUCAAGACCAAGGGCAAUAAUAUAGAAUAUGUUAACCAUACCUUACCAAUACCAUUUUCAUGUGACCUCAAACACUGACUCAACAAUUGUGCUUGUUAAAUCCUAAAAGUUUCAAGAUGUAUAUUUGGAUGUCCAAAAUUAUGCUCCUCCAGCUGUAUCCAUAUCAGCGAUCCCAUCGACUCCCUUGAAAACAACACGUAAUUUUCUCAGACAGGAGAAUUUUUGGUCAUUCUUGCUUGUCAUACCAUUCACAUGGACUAUGUCCUUGGAUAGUUUACCCAUAAGGUCAAAAACUGGUACACCCAGGUUUGAUCUAGUCAUUUCUUCCAAUACUGGGGGGGCUUGCAUGUACAGAUUCUUUCCUCGGUGUGUAAUGCUUGCUUUUGACAACUGCAACUUAGGAUGUUCUUCCAGAAGAUCCAUGAACUGUUCCAACAGUUUGAUUAAAAAAACAACAGAAGGGAAAUAUGCAUUGAGAUAUAUGGCUUGCUUAAAUUCAACUAUAAGUAAAAACAGCAAUCAAAAUCAAAGUACUUACUAAAAAGUGAAUAUAUCUGUUAAGAAAUUAGGAUCCAAUUGCAAAGUAUGAUACUUAAAUCCCACAUCAGAAGUAUGAGAUUCCAGUAUGGGGUUUAUAUGACCUUGGCACCCUGUGCUCUGCAACCACAAUGGCUAGCAUUUGUGGUGUGGUUCUCCCAAG